rnacentral:rRNA from 1 species
UAGGGAAUCUUCGGCAAUGGACGAAAGUCUGACCGAGCAACGCCGCGUGAGUGAAGAAGGUUUUCGGAUCGUAAAACUCUGUUGUUAGAGAAGAACAAGGACGUUAGUAACUGAACGUCCCCUGACGGUAUCUAACCAGAAAGCCACGGCUAACUACGUGCCAGCAGCCGCGGUAAUACGUAGGUGGCAAGCGUUGUCCGGAUUUAUUGGGCGUAAAGCGAGCGCAGGCGGUUUCUUAAGUCUGAUGUGAAAGCCCCCGGCUCAACCGGGGAGGGUCAUUGGAAGCUGGGAGACUUGAGUGCAGAAGAGGAGAGUGGAAUUCCAUGUGUAGCGGUGAAAUGCGUAGAUAUAUGAAGGAACACCAGUGGCGAAGGCGGCUCUCUGGUCUGUAACUGACGCUGAGGCUCGAAAGCGUGGGGAGCAAACAGG